rnacentral:piRNA from 1 species
CAGCUGGGUUCAGAGGAUAGC